rnacentral:lncRNA from 1 species
AUUUAUUUUGCUUUAUUUUUCUGACUAAUAUUCUUAUCUCUUAUUUCCUUAAGUAACACACUAUGUACAAUCUCCAAAUUGACAUUCAGUCACUAAGGUGACUAGAUGAAUACAAAAAAAAACAAACUGUAUUUCUCCUACAAUGUUCUCACAUCAUGUUUUUGACACCAGGUAUGUGAGACUCAUUCUAUAUGAAGCAAGAAAUUCUGCAGCUGUGGCCACCAGCUAGGCGCCCUCUAAAUCAGUUCAGUUAUGGCAUUCCUUAUUUGGAGAUAACAUUGAACCUAUGGGUUGAGGACUCAGUUAUUAAGACUGCAUUUCCCCUUCAGACACCUUAGGUUGUUUUCUUGUGCUUCUGACCCACUGGUUAUUCAUGAGGGUUCCUAUAGCACCACCCUCAGACAUGAUUAAUUUGUUAAAAUGGCUCAUAAAACUCAGGAAAAUAUCUACUUAUGUUUAUUGGUUUAUUGUAAAAGAAAUUACAAAGCAUACAGAUAAAAACAUGCUUAAGGGAAGGCAUGUGGCAAAGCAGAGAGAGCUUCCAUGCCCUCUUCUUGCACCCCAGCCUCCAAGAACCUUCACAUGUUUGACUAUCCAGAAGCUCAUUGGACCCUGUCCUUUUGGGUUUUUAUGGUGGCUUCAAUAUGUAGGCAUUGCUCAUUAAAUUAUUGACCAUUGGUGAUUCAACCCUCCAAUCCUGACUUGGUUUCUCUCAUGCCUAGGUUCAAUCCUGAAGCUACCUUGGGACCACCAGCUAUCAAUCAACUCAUGAGCAUACAAAAAGACAUUUGUCACAUUGAAAAUUUCAAGGAUUUUAGGAGUUGUAUACCAAGAAACUGGACUAAGAUCAAAUAUAGUUUUCACAAUAUUAUAUUGAAGCAUUUUUUUAUUGAUACAUUUGAUAUGAUUCAUUCACAGAAUGGUAAUGUGGCAUAGGCUUAUGGCAGUCUAUAAAAAACAUCUCAUCCUGCCCUCUAAAAUUCCACAUGUAAGAAUGGGAACAAGAGUAAUUUUUAGAAAUUUGCUUAAUUUCACACAUCUCAUGCAUGUCAUAAUUUCUGGAAAAGUUUUCUCCUUGGAAAGUCUUACCUGACUUUCUUUAAAAUCCGAUAGUAUGUCCAAUGGUCUCACCUUGCUUUCUCAAAAACUUGUUAUUUGAUUUACACUCUGCUCAAGAUUUCCUGAAACACAAGCACACAUAGCAGAGUCCUCACUCUCCACCUUUGAACUCAGUACUCAGCAUGGCUAAGGAAAAUAAACAAAUAAAACUGAAUAGCGUAUUCUUCACUCUGGCUGGGAAGUCACUACAUGCAUUUUUAUAUAACAUGUAUAAGACUGCAUACAUAAACUAGUUCACUGAUAUUCAGAUCAUGUAAAAAUGUCAAAUAAAUUCCCCUCUGGUGUAUUUUCAAUUUAAAACAAAUUCAAAAAAAUUUGAUUUGCAUUAGUCUAGUUUUUCUUGGAGUCUGGCUUGG